UACGAAGGGUGCAAACGUUGCUCGGAAUUAUUGGGCGUAAAGCGCACGUAGGCGGCUUAGCAAGUCGGAAGUGAAAUCCCUCGGCUCAACCAAGGAAGUGCUUUCGAAACUGCUGAGCUUGAGUAGUUAAGAGGAUCGCGGAAUUCCCGGUGUAGAGGUGAAAUUCGUAGAUAUCCGGAGGAACACCGGUGGCGAAGGCGGCUUCCUGGACCGAUACUGACGCUGAGGCGCGAAAGCUAGGGGAGCAAACGGG
rnacentral:rRNA from 1 species